AGAUUAAUGAAGAUACCUCCACUACUGGUCCACCUGCAGAGAAUAAAAGAUUGCAGAAUGAUCAAUUCUGAGACAUCUGUAUCACACACCCUCUCUCCAAGGCUCAUCACUGAAAAGGGUGAAGAAAUGUUGUAAGAGGCAGAUGGAGUAGACACCUGUAGUGAAAUGGCAGGGAUGAUCUACAUCUUCCAAAUCAAGGGUGUAUAAAAAAUAUGAAGACAGAAUGAAUUGAAGAGGCUCACACCUGAGGCAGCAUUGACGUUUAAAUGACUUGCACAAAGGACACCAAGGCAGUCACAGGUGAUUUCCAAGCUACAAACCUUGAAGACUGGUCAUGCCGCAGAAGAGUGGAGGACUCCAAAGCCACUCUGGGGUUCACUCUUCGUCCUGUCCUGGGAACCUACACAUGUGCCUGACCAAGUCUGUUCCCCGGAAACAACUGAUGUAAAAGCAGUGUGGGUGGAUCUGCCUGAGAAGGGCCCUGGGACUUCACAGUGUGGCAGAGCAGAGGACAAUGACAGGGGCGAAGGGUCAAAGAAUGAAAUAAACAAUGAAAUGGAAAAAAAAAUGUGUGUGGCAGGGGCAGGCUCUGAGCAUGACUUCAACUUUUCACUGGAUCAUGUGAGAUACUAGCACAUUCUCCAGGAAUGACUCUUUUUCUUAUUCAAGUUUUAAGAGUUUUGUUAUCUUUGCAGACAAUAUGGCUUACAAAUGUGUAUACUAAUUUACAGAUUUUUGUCACAAAUAAUUCUAUGCUGUUCUGCACUUUGAUAUAGGCUUAGUUAACAUCCAAAAAGCAUAGAAUUUAUUUAUAGCACCAAGGGUAUGAGGAUGCCUCAAGAAAGCAGGCAUCAUGAUAAAAUAGUCUGAAUAUAUGACCCCAGAUAUUGUACUUGAAGAUACGUAUACAGUAUUUUACUUGCUUCUAUCUUGUUCUAUUCUAAAAACAAUCUGAAUUUAGUUGGAUUACUAAACAAUCAAUCAGUUAUAAACAUGUGCAAGCAUUUAACUUAAUGCUAAAAAAUAUGCAAGUGUUGUAUUCUUACCAAUUGUUAUAUAGAAAACCUCUUCCCUGGUAAAGCAUUCUGUCCUGCAGAGGAGUUCUUUAAGGCACAGGGUGUUCUAAAGGGAGAUAGAACAUCCUCUCUUGGAGGCAAGUUCCUAAAUCUCAGGAAGCAACCAACUCAAAUGCUUUAGAAAGACAACUCACAAGUUUUAGAAAGUCCCUGAAAAUUACCAGGAUCACUAGGCCCCCACUUCCUAAAGCUUACUUAAGCCCAGAUGACAGCUGAGAGACAUUAUCAGACAAGCUCAGGUAUCCAGAAGCCUCUCAGGCCAGCCAAGCCACUAAACUGCCUGCAAAAGAAAGAAAUGUCCAAACUGCCUGUGGCAAUACGUGCUAACCUGUCAACAGGAGGUGUGCAGUAUGCUCCAGA